GGGGGAUAUUGCACAAUGGGCGAAAGCCUGAUGCAGCAACGCCGCGUGAGGGAAGACGGUUUUCGGAUUGUAAAACUCUGUCUUCGGUGAAGAAAAAAAUGACGGUAGCCGAGGAGGAAGCCACGGCUAACUACGUGCCAGCAGCCGCGGUAAUACGUAGGUGGCGAGCGUUGUCCGGAAUUACUGGGUGUAAAGGGAGCGCAGGCGGGAGAGCAAGUCAGCUGUGAAAACUAUGGGCUUAACCCAUAGACUGCAGUUGAAACUGCUUUUCUUGAGUGGAGUAGAGGUAGGCGGAAUUCCGAGUGUAGCGGUGAAAUGCGUAGAUAUUCGGAGGAACACCAGUGGCGAAGGCGGCCUACUGGGCUCUAACUGACGCUGAGGCUCGAAAGUGUGGGGAGCAAAC
rnacentral:rRNA from 1 species